rnacentral:lncRNA from 1 species
AAGUCUAGGUGCUAAGGGAAGCAGUCAUAUAAAAUAGCUCAGUUUUGUCAUAUAUGAUUGGUUUGUGUCCUUGAUAUAAACCAAUAACAGUACCAAAAUGCAAAAGGGCAUUCAGGGAAAAGUAUGAACAUUGAUCUAUUAACCAUCUCUGAUCACAUUCUUUAGAGCAGGAAUUGCUAAGGGCAGUUUUUGUGGGUACCACCAUCACCAGCUCAUCUCUGUGUUCCCAGUGCAUGGCUGAAAACGCACCAGUCAUGUAGCCGAGUUUGAAAUGGCAACAUAAAGAAUAUUGCGAUUGUGAUGAGGUCUUCACACUGCAAGCAAGGGAACCAGCUUCAAACCCUUAUAGAAUUAUAUAUGGCUCUUAAACUGUGCCCUGCAUUUGAACUUGAACAGAGCUGCUAGUUGGAUUUGCCAG